AAGUCGUAACAAGGUUUCCGUAGGUGAACCUGCGGAAGGAUCAUUACCAAAUUAUUUUAAUAACCACUUGUGAACCCGAAUCAGAGAUGUUAUGUGUAUAUGUACGAAUUUGAUCAUUUUAUUAUGGUUAGUGAGUAUUAUAUGCGUGAUGUGUUUGAUUCAAAAUAAAAAACUAUACUCAUUAUUUGUCUAAAUUAUUUUAUUAAUAAAAAACAACUUUUAACAAUGGAUCUCUUGGCUCUC
rnacentral:misc_RNA from 1 species